AUGCAUCUCUUGACAGCCCUGAAGCAGUUAAUGUCUGCUGCUAAGGUUUCCACUAUAGAUGCAAGAAAAAGAAGGUCCUCGCGCUUUCUGUCUGUCUGGUUGUGGCAGCCAAGAUUGAAUGGGGGAAUAUAGGA
rnacentral:snoRNA from 1 species